CUGCAACCCGACUCCGUGAAGCUGGAUUCGCUAGUAAUCGCGCAUCAGCCAUGGCGCGGUGAAUACGUUCCCGGGCCUUGUACACACCGCCCGUCAAGCCAUGGAAGCCGGGAGUGCCUGAAGUAUGCAACCGCAAGGAGCGUCCUAAGGUAAAACCGGUGACUGGGGCUAAGUCGUAACAAGGUAGC
rnacentral:rRNA from 1 species